ACAUCCCUUUAAAGAUGUAGGAUCCGUAGACGCAGGGUGCAGAUGCAGUGAUAUGCGCGAGAGGAUAUGAGACUCUUCUGCACUCCAAUUUUUAACACUCUGACUUAAGACUUUUUCUAGUGAGUUGGGACAAAUUACCGUAAUAUGACACAAUACCAGACUGGAAGGGUCGCAUCCAGGGAAAUUGACCUUUAUAUAUGCAUCAUGUUGGAUGAGCUGGGGUGGAUAAGACAUGCUGACGUCCUGGACAGCCUAUAACCAACCCAUCGCUGCAUGGUGACUGGCAACAGGACUGUGCCCCUACACAGUAUGCGGUCAGGUCGCCCAGCAGGCUGGAGUCCGGUACGGAGCACGAUGUGAGCGCUGGAGGGCGCGCGUCGCCGUUGUGUGACGUCAUCGCGGGCGGACGGACUCCCGGGGCCCGGCGGCGGGAGGAGGCGCCCAUUGCUCACGGCGCGUCGUCAUGGCAACCGACCGGCCCAUGUACGUCACUUCCUGACCUUCUGUGACACGGAGACCGGAAGUGCGGGACGGGGGAGGCUCGGAACACCGUGAUGCACGCAGCUGGGAGUCAUGAAGGGGGUUCCCUACAAGCGUGGCAGAAUGACAAGCAAUUGCAGAGGACUUUGACAGGCGCUGGAAUUACCCAAACUGUGGUGGUGCAAUAGACGGGAAACAUGUGCGCAUCACCAAACCCACCAACAGCAGGUCGGACUACUUCAAUUAUAAAGGCUACCUGCAGCAACUAUACGCGCCACUGCAAGGGCAAAAGAGGUCAGGAAAAAAUAUAAUGCCUUCUCCAAUGGGGAAGGAGCUGCGGCAUAGCAGGAGGAAUAUAUUAGGUAAAAACCAUUUAAAAAGCAACUUACCCCUUCGGCCUCCUCCACGUCCAAACUUCCCUCCUCGAACUCGGCCAUCACCACCAUGGACUCCUUAGUUGACCGUUUCUCCAGGAGGAAGUGUAGAUCUUUGUAGUACCACCGCUGCGGCACAUACACCUUGUCUGCACCGGCCCCUGACCUCUUGAACUCCUCCACCUUGCGAUUUUCUUUCACAAAGACUGUCCAUAGAUUGGCAAUCUUCUUUCGGACCCAGGCCACUGAUGCAACAGAGAAGGUGUGCUUGGAGUACUCCACCAUGCGCGUAUAAGCAGCCUCCCUCUUCUGCUUGUUGCUGUAGUCUGGUGAGGACGUCAGCCACAGACACUGCUCCUCGCGGUACAGGCUGAUGAAGCCGGAAAGACACUCGCAGUUUUCAUAGGACAUCUGUAGAAUGCAAAAAAAGGAAUAUUAAAAAACAUGAAAAAAGUUAAACUAUUCAGGUUAAAUAAAGUUUGUUUUCUA